UGAAGAAACGCAGGACGACUUGGACACAAUAUCUCAAACACAUGGAACAACAUAUGCGAUGAGCUUGAUCCUCGGUGGUCUGACUGUUUUCCUUCUCAUGGUCGUCACUGUUCUGGUUGUUUUAAUCAGAAAGCGUCGAGCAGCUUCUGGUGAAAAACAAGAUCCACAACAACAUGAGAACGUGGACUGUGAUGACCUAAAGGCUGCUGCACUGAGUGUGUUUUCACCAGCAGUAAGAAGCAGGAGACCUGCAUCACAGAGACAAGUGGAGACUCAUGUUACUUACGCUGCCAGCAGAUAGACUCACAGAGCAACUGCUGCUCUUAUCAGACUGAUCUACUGCUGUGUUCUGAUGGUGUUCUGAUGGUGUUCUCUCACUCCAUCCUCCUAUUAUGACCUGACUUUGGUGACACACUCAUGAAGGUCUGCAGCAGAGCAGGGCUGAAUGAGACACACAUCACUAGUUUGACAUAAACAGACAAUACGAUGUAGAAAAACAAUGAGGCCUGUGAACUUAAUACAAAUGUAUGAGAUGAAACAGAAAACUGUGUCUGACUUUGUUGUGAAACUCACAUUCUCCAUUUGCACAUUAGUAUAUUUACCGUGUGACCUGAUGUUAAUGAGCUAUGAGUUAUAAAAUGGCUGAUGGUGUAUUUAUAAAAGCAAAUGACAGAUACAUUGUUGACGUUUACACUGCAGUGGAAAGCAGAAGUGUUUGUAUUAGUGGCGUGUCUGAUUCUGUAUCUUCACACUUCUCAAACCGACACGUGACUAAUUUAUCUCCACUUAUUGUAAACACAUCUAUAAAACCUGUGAAACGUCUGAUGCAGCUCAAUGACUCUUUAGACUCAUGAAAAUGUUGACU